GGUGUCUAUGAAUAUUGUAC
rnacentral:miRNA from 1 species